rnacentral:rRNA from 1 species
UACGUAGGGGGCUAGCGUUGUCCGGAAUCAUUGGGCGUAAAGCGCGCGUAGGCGGCCAGAUAAGUCCGGUGUGAAAGUCACAGGCUCAACCUGUGAAUGCCGCUGGAAACUGUCUGGCUAGAGUCCGGAAGGGGCGAGUGGAAUUCCUGGUGUAGCGGUGAAAUGCGCAGAUAUCAGGAGGAACACCAAUGGCGAAGGCAGCUCGCUGGGACGGUACUGACGCUGAGGCACGAAAGCGUGGGGAGCAAACAGG